CGACGAUACGUUGAUCUCAGCUGAGAUUGACGUUGGGGCCGUGCUCUACAGAUGCUAGAUUAUCAGCAGCACGUAGAGAGUCCUUUCUGGUGGGGAGCGGCGACUAGGUGAGUAUCGCUUCGAGACGGGACUAGUAGGGGGUGUUAUCUGUCUGAAAGGACGGGUAAUAGCGCAUCAGCCUCGAGGUGGAUAGAGAGGGAUGCUUUGACCACGGGUAUUUGAGCAGAUCUAUAUGCAUUAGCUAGUACGUGGGGAAUGGCCUAUCAAGGCGAAUAUUCAUAGAUAGCCAGAGAGAAUGAUCUUCCACAGUGGAACUGAGACACGUCCCACACUCCUAAGUGAUGCAGCAGCGUGGAAUUUAGGACAAGUCAGUGAACCUUGAUCUAGCCACGUCGCGAGUAUGAAGAAGGCUUUCGGGUAGUAAACGACUGUUUUUAGGGAAGAAAAGCUGAGUGGCAAUCACAUUUGAUGCAGACAGUUUCUUCAGAAUAGGCACUGGUUAACAACGUGCCGGCAUUCUUCGGUCAUACGUAGGGUGCGAGUCAUAAUUGGAAUUCAUGGGCAAAAGCGAGCGCAGACGGUUAGAUAAGUCUGAGGUGAAAUCCUCGAGUUCAACGUGGGACGUCCUCUUGUCAGACCAUAAAGAGAUUGUGUCAGAGGGAGGUAGAAUUCCCACCGUAGCAGUGAUCCCAUAGAGAUCAUCGGAAUACGCGAUUCCUUUGGCAGCCGUAUGGGAUUACAUCAACGUUCAUGGUUGAAAGCGGUGGUAGCAAACAGGAGUCCCCACCCAGGUAGUACAUCCCCUAAACGAUGACAAUUGUCCGCCGGUCCUCAAGAAGUGCAAGCAGUGAAGCUACCGCGAGAAAUGGUCCGGUUGGGGAGUACGGUAGCAAGCAAUAAAACUCAAAGGAAUUGACGG
rnacentral:rRNA from 1 species